rnacentral:lncRNA from 1 species
UAUGGUAGUUCCCAGACUAGGGGUCCCAUCUGAGCUACAGCUGCUGGCCUAUGCCACAGCCACAGCAACAUGGGAUCUGAGCCACAUCUGUGACCUACACCACAGCUCACAGCAAUGCCAGAUCCUUAACCCACUGAUGGAGGCUAGGGAUCGAACCCGCAUCCUCAUGGAUACUAGGUGGGUUCGUUUCUGCUGAGCCUCAGCAGGAACUCCUGUUACUAAGACAUAACUUUGCAGUGGAAGAUUUUCCAAAUCUUUCAGAGGAAUCCACGUUACUACAAGAGGAUCAGGAUUAUUAUAGUAGCAAAAGAAAGAAAAAUAUCAUCAUUGUCAUCAUCACUGGUUUGAGCGUUUGGUUUGUGCCAGGCACUCUAUUAAACUCUUUACAUCAAUUAUCUAAUUUGUUCUUUUCACUUUGUUCUUUGCAACAGGUCCUCAAGAGAGGUUAAUUUAAAGAAUUUCAAAAGGGGCUCUUAAUUUACACUCUAAGCAAGUACUUUUCAAUCAAAACUGCUUAUUGGAAUCUCAACUGGGAAAUGCAAAAAUAGAAAACCUGCUUUAGACGGAAUAUUUGUGCCCCCCCCCCACUAUGAUAUGUUGAAAACUAGUGCCCAGUGUGACCGUAUUAGGAGGUGGGGCCUUUGGGGUGGUUAGGUUAUGAGGGACGCUUGCUCUCACAAGACACUGAAUCAACUGGUGUUUUGGUCUUGGUCUCCCUCGCCUCCGGAACUGUGAAACAUAAAUUUCUGUGGUUGAUAAGAUGCCUAGUUUAUGCUAUAUCGUUACAGCAGCCCAAACAGACUAAGACAGGCCCCAAUCAAACUACCUGCAUGAGAAUCUCUGGUGAAGGCUGAUGGGAGCCACUGGUGUAUGUUCCUUCCUAAAUGACUGUCUCUGUAACCAGGCUUAAAGAUCAUUGCCAAAACCUUUGGAUUGUGAGCCAAAAGUUUUACUGUGCAAUAUCAGACUUUAUUGAAAAAAGUAAAAGUGUUUUAAAGAUUUUAAAUGAAGUCGAUGAAGGAAGACGGGAUAUGUCAAAAAAUACUUUGGAGAAGGAAUUUGAAAAAAAUCCAGAUUAUUUUGCAUCCUCAAGGUAAAGAGAUGAACAUCUCCUGUCUGGCAAGUCCAAGGAAUGAAGUGUAAUGGAGCAUGAUCAGUGCUGGCUGAGGAAGACUAAAGGAUAAGAGGAAGAGGAGGGAUGGGAAGAGGAGCUGAUCCGACAUCCAGAGACUGCCUUGCGACAUUGGACGUUCGUCCUAAAGUGCCCUGGCCUGAGAGGACAGCACCUACAGACCAUCGCAGCGGUGAGACAAGUUUUCCUCUCCAUGUAAUCCGGCACAAGCUGUGCUUUCUCUUGCCACAAGUGAAUACUGGACUUCGCCCUACAUGCCCUAUAUUGAGACUCUCUUCUUCAAAGACCCAGGAUGCGGACAAGCCCACUGACUCAGAGGAUAGUAUUUAAACGGAUAUUGGUUGUGUGGAAUGGAAAAAUCCCAGUAUCUGUAUUUGAUGGGAAUAGAUUCUUAGAAAACCAACUCUAUGACAGGAAAAAAUAGACUAAUUUUUCUAUAGACCUCUAUGAUUACAUUGAAUUAUUUUUGAAAAUGAUACUUUGUAUGUGAGAUAUGCAUUAUUUUAAUUAUACACAGUCAAAUGUAUAGCAAAACUUCUCUAGAAUUAAUCAGUAAACAUCGUCUGUAAUAAAGCUGGAUUAUAAUACAUUUCUAAAGAUACAAGUGAGAAUACUAUCCUUUGUUAUAAUUUCUAUAAUAAAGUACACAUAUUUAUCUCUCUGUGUAUCUAAGUAAAUACAAUAAAAAGUUUUAGAUAAUUAUUUGACUGUUAGUAGAAAGCUACUUAUAGACCUUCUAAAAAAUUCUAAGAAUUAUUUUGUGUCUAAUUUAGUACUAUGUAUUCCGGUAAUGUAUAUAAUCAGUUUCUCCUGACAUUUAAAGUUAUUACAAUAUCUAUACUUUAAAGUCAAUUCUUUUAUCUUUGUUUCACAAUGAUCUGUAAGCAGCAGUUGUUUUUCAAUUAUUCAUGUAAAUCGGACACUAUUUCAGAGUUUUCUCAGGGCUUUCUUAUCUUCUGCAGUGUUGAACUAAAAUAACUUUUAAAUUUGUUAUUUUUUCAAGAUGUGUUAAAUCACUUCCUUUGUAUUCAUGAUGCACAUUUUUUUCACUGUUUUUGUUAUUAGCUACCAUUAGGAAAUGUAUACUUGCACUAUACUUUACCUGAAGUGAUGCAAUAACAGUUACUCAUACAACCAGGGACACCACAGUAGGAAAUGCUGGGAUAUUCUUUCUAGCUUUUUUUUUUUUAAGUAGUUAAAUUAUAGCUAUUGUUUCAGGAUAUUGCAUAGAGGCAAGGAGAAUCAAUGACCUUCAAUCAAAUCUUGGUUAAUCAUUGUCCAGGAGCUCAUUAUUCAACUUAAUCCAUGAACUCACCAAGGGUAAAUGAAUGCUAUAACGCCUAGAGGAACCGUCAUUUUGUCAAGAUAAAUGACCUGUAGGUGUGGCUUAAGCUUCUUUGCUAUAACUGGCAUAUGUGUCUUUCAUCUCUAUCGGUCUAUCUUUGAAAUGGUAGAGCUGGAGAACAUAUCAACUUUUUUCACAUUAAAUCAGAAAAAAAAGUCACUAAGUGGACCAUGUGAAAAUACAGUAGAUAACAAGAAAUUGUCUUUUUCUGCCAGAGGCUACCUGAUUCUGGCAUAUUUGUGGUUUUUUUUUUUGGCUGUGAGUAAUAGAAGAUCAAAACCACCCAUUUUGGGAACUAUGGGCCCCUACAAAAUGAAUGAGCAAGAGUCACAUCAAAACUCACCGCCAUGAAAUUUAAAAUCACUGGAGAUAAAGAAAGGUCAUCCAAAUAUGAAAUAAGAAACAAAUAUAGUAAAACCAAAAAAUUCAGGAACUGCUAAAAAAAUAAAAUAAAAUCAGGAAUCAGAUCCGCAUCAGACUUCUCAACAGCUCAACUGAGAAACAAUGGAACAGCAGACACUUGGCUAAGUGAUUUUCAACAUCGAAACUGACACUCAACACUACCAGUUAUGUCUGAAGUGCUAUCAGGACAUCUUCAGACAUGUAAAUUUAUAAAAACGUCACCUUCCACACCCUUUCUCAGGAAGCUGCUGUGGGAUCUGCUCCUUCAGAGCAAUAGGUAAAGCAAGAAAGAAAAAUGUGAAGUCACGAAACAGGUGAUCUAGCACUUGAGAGAGGUUGUGAGAAUUUUCCAGUUGAAGUCAACAGGCAGCAUUAGGAUAACA